UACGGGGGGGGCAAGCGUUGUUCGGAAUUACUGGGCGUAAAGGGUUCGUAGGUGGCUUGCUAAGUCAGACGUGAAAUCCCUCAGCUUAACUGGGGAACUGCGUCUGAGACUGGCAAGCUUGAGUGCAGGAGAGGAACGCGGAAUUCCAGGUGUAGCGGUGAAAUGCGUAGAUAUCGGGAGGAACACCAGUGGCGAAGGCGACUACCUGGCCUGUUCUUGACGCUGAGGCGCGAAAGCUAGGGGAGCAAACGGG
rnacentral:rRNA from 1 species